rnacentral:lncRNA from 1 species
GCAUAUAUACCAACACACAAAUAUGAAAUAAAGUAGGUUAAAUUAUAGAAAAUCUUUCUGUAUAUAUUUGUUUUUUCACUUUUCCUUUCUGACUUUUAAAAAGCUGCAUUUUAUUUUCUUAAAAUUUCGAGUUGUUACAUUUAAGACCCCUCUAUCAGGAUUCCAUCAGUAUGUCGUCCAUUUUUUAUAUUUUACACCUAAAAUAUUUUUCAAAAUAAUAAAAAUAUAUUAAAAAAUUAUUUUUUUAUAGAAGAAGUAAGAGUAAUUUGGUCAUUUUGUCCUCUUCAUUAACACUAUACUCUUUCAAAAUAUUUCUGAAAUUUUAAUAGAAGCAAAAUAUAACAUUUUAAAAGUUAGGAAGAAAAAGUAAGAAAAAAGAAUACUCAUAGGAAAGUUUUCUAUAAUUUAGCCAAUAAAGUAGCCUGAAAUAGUAUAUAUAUAUAUAUAGAGAGAGAGAGAGAGAGAGAGAGAGUUGAGCUAGAAUACUCUCGAUAGUAAACAAGCCCGUUUACUAUUGAGUUGUUUUUGAUGAUAGAGCUUCCAAAUUGACGAUCGGCUCCGUUGAACACGAUUUAUACCACUUGAAGUGUUUAGAAAUCAAAUUUCAAAUCUUUUCGACAUCAUUUGCCUAAUGAUCAAAGGGUUUCAAAAUUUGUAAUUUUAAUGGUGGAUAAGAGACAUUUUCUCGUUUAACGAUGUAAAGGUAUCCAAAUGAAUUGAAUUUUUGUUAGAAAAUUCUUUAAACUAUUUAAAACAAGAUCUAUACUCUUGAUCUUGAUUACAAGACUCCUAUCAUCAUUUUUUAAAGAAUAUUCAUUUUCAGUCAUUUACUUUUCUGUUCACUAGAUGGAUAAAAAACAAUAUCGAAAGUGCGUGAAAUCUGAUUUCUAGGUAGUUUAAAUGGUUUAGAUCAUAUUUAACGGAGCCAAUCGUCAAUUUGGAAGCUCUAUCAUCGAAAACAACUCGAUAGUAAACGGGCUCGUUUACUAUCGAGAGUAUUCUAGCUCAACUAUAUAUAUAUAUAUAUAUAUAUAAAAUCCAGCUACUAUCCUAUUAAUAGGAUAGAGACCAUUGUCUUAUCAAGUCAUUCUUGAUGAUAGAGAUGCCGAAUCGAUGAUCGGAAUCGUUAAAAUUGAUCUAGAGUAUUUGAAUUAUCUAUAAACUAAAUUUCAGAAAUUUUAAAAAUCAUUUACAUAGUGAUCAAAGGAUCAUAAAAUCGAUAAUUUUUGACGGCCUAUAUGGACCGUUUGCUUGUUUAACGGUGUAGAGCAAUCCAAAUUGUUUGAAUUUUUUAUAGAAAAUUUUGUAUACUAUUUAGAUAAUAUUUGAUAACUCUGAUCAUGAUUUGAGAAAGUUUAAUCUAUAUUUUAAGAAGGUUAUUCAUUUAUGACCGUUUAUUUUUUCGACUCUUCGAUAGACUUGAUAAUGAUUUUCAAAAAUUACCAAAUUCGGUUUUUAAAUAUUUCUUAUAGUGUAUAUCAAUUUCAAUGGUGCCGAUUAUCAAUUUAGAGUGUCGAUUAUUCAAAACGACUCGAUAGGAUAAUGAUCCCAAUCCUAUUAAUAGGAUAGUAAUCGGACUAUAUAUAUAUAUAUAUAUAUAUACUUCCACAUCAACCGUUCAUUAAACAUGUAGUCCACUAAGGCUUAGUUUGGUAUUGAGGUCCAUCUAACGUUAUUAGAUAAAAUGGAGUUGAGGAAAAAGUAUACAAGGAAAUGCUUCUGCGUUCUCCGGUGGGAUCGCAGAAAAUAUAUCGUAACCGACUCAUCACGAUAUGUGGAAUGCAAUAUUACGUACGGAAACGAAGGAUAUUUUUCAACGUACUUUUUUACCGCAUGUAACGCAAACUCCCCGCAAUCCCAAACGAAGACUAAAUCAAAUUGCAGGACUUAAUUAUAAUAAUUUAUAAAUUUUAAACCAUAAAUUAUAAUAAAUUAAGAUUUGAGAACGAGCGUGUCA